UGAAUUUUUAAAUGGCCGCAGUAAUUUGACUGUGCAAAGGUAGCAUAAUCAUUAGUUUUUUAAUUGGAAGCUUGUAUGAAAGGUUGGACGAAGUAUAAUCUGUCUUUAUUUGAUUUAAUAUUGAAAUUACUUUUUAAGUUAAAAAGCUUAAAUAUUUAUAAAAGACGAGAAGACCCUAUAAAUCUUUAUAUUAUUUUUUAGUUAUUUUAAUUAAGUUUUUUUUAUCUAUAAUUUUUUAUAGUAUUUUAUUGGGGUAAUAGAGUGAUUUAAAUAAUUCAUUUUGAUUUUUUACAUUAAUAUAUGGUUUUUUUGAUCCAAUAAAUUUUGAUUAUAAGAUUAAGUUACUUUAGGGAUAACAGCGUAAUUUUUUUAAAGAGUUCAUAUUGAUAAAAAAGUUUGCGACCUCGAUGUUG
rnacentral:rRNA from 1 species